rnacentral:rRNA from 1 species
UACGAAGGGGGCUAGCGUUGCUCGGAAUCACUGGGCGUAAAGGGUGCGUAGGCGGGUCUUUAAGUCAGGGGUGAAAUCCUGGAGCUCAACUCCAGAACUGCCUUUGAUACUGAAGAUCUUGAGUUCGGGAGAGGUGAGUGGAACUGCGAGUGUAGAGGUGAAAUUCGUAGAUAUUCGCAAGGACACCAGUGGCGAAGGCGGCUCACUGGCCCGAUACUGACGCUGAUGCACGAAAGCGUGGGGAGCAAACAGG